GCACGUCAAGGUGGGGACUCUAGACAGACUGCCUGCGCAAGCAGAGAGGAAGGAGGGGACGACGUCAAGUCAUCAUGGCCCUUACGCCCAGGGCGACACACGUGCUACAAUGGCGCAUACAGCGGGUAGCUACCUGGCAACAGGAUGCCAACCUCUAAAAGUGCGUCUCAGUUCGGAUCGGGGUCUGCAACUCGACCCCGUGAAGCUGGAAUCGCUAGUAAUCGCGCAUCAGCCAUGGCGCGGUGAAUACGUUCCCGGACCUUGUACACACCGCCCGUCAAGCCAUGGAAGUCGGGUAGACCUGAAGGCGGUAACCGGAUAGGAGCCGUUUAGGGUAGAACCGGUAACUGGGGCUAAGUCGUAACAAGGUAGCCGUACCGGAAGGUGCGGCUGGAACACCUCCUUU
rnacentral:rRNA from 1 species